AACUGAUACUACCUGCGGGAACCUGCGGAGGGAUCAUUACUGAGUGAGGGCCCUCUGGGUCCAACCUCCCACCCGUGUUUAACGAACCUUGUUGCUUCGGCGGGCCCGCCUCACGGCCGCCGGGGGGCAUCCGCCCCCGGGCCCGCGCCCGCCGAAGACACCUGUGAACUCUGUCUGAAGUUGCAGUCUGAGAAACUAUUUAAAUUAGUUAAAACUUUUAACAAUGGAUCUCUAGAUCGG
rnacentral:misc_RNA from 1 species